rnacentral:misc_RNA from 1 species
GUGAAUCAUCGAAUUUUUGAACGCAAAUUGCACUCUCUGGUAUUCCGGAGAGUAUGCCUGUUUGAGGGUCAGUUUAAAUAAAAAUCGGUGUGGCUGCUGCCUUUCGUGUUGACGCACGGGUUGUGGGUCUUCUGGCCUUCGGUUAAGUGACCUAAAAUUUUGCUUGUUUUUUUCGAAGGUAUUUAAAUGAUUUUACGUACGUUUGCGAUUGCGAUAACUAGUUGCGGUCAUCUUAAUGAUCCGC